UACGGAGGGUGCAAGCGUUAUCCGGAUUUACUGGGUUUAAAGGGUGCGCAGGCGGAUAUGUAAGUCAGUGGUGAAAUCUUCCCGCUUAACGGGAAAACUGCCGUUGAUACUAUAUAUCUUGAAUGCUGUGGAGGUAAGCAGAAUAUGUCAUGUAGCGGUGAAAUGCUUAGAUAUGGCACAGAACACCGAUAGUGAAGACAGCCCACGAAGGCGAAACUGACACUGAGGCACGAAAGCGUGGGGAUCGAACAGG
rnacentral:rRNA from 1 species